rnacentral:rRNA from 1 species
UACGUAGGGUGCAAGCGUUGGUCCGGAAUUAUUGGGCGUAAAGAGCUCGUAGGCGGUUUGUUGCGUCGGCUGUGAAAUCCCGAGGCUCAACCUCGGGUCUGCAGUCGAUACGAGCAAACUAGAGUGUUGCAGGGGAGACUGGAAUUCCUGGUGUAGCGGUGAAAUGCGCAGAUAUCAGGAGGAACACCGGUGGCGAAGGCGGCCUGCUGGGGCAGUGGCUGACGCUGAGGCGCGACAGCGUGGGGAGCAAACAGG